rfam:Triticum aestivum genome assembly, contig: Triticum_aestivum_CS42_TGACv1_scaffold_592500_7BS
AUAUUACUCCCUCCGUCCGCUAAUACUUGUCGCAAAAAUAAAUAAAAAUGGAUAUAUGUAGAACUAAAAUAUGUCUAGAUACAUCCAUUUUUCCGACAAUUAUUUCUGAACGGAGGGAGUAGAAU